rnacentral:misc_RNA from 1 species
GAAAUAUUUGCUGCAAGAUGCGAGUCGUACAUAAUUCACACCCACCCCACCCGUGUCCAUGAACUGGGAACCAAUAAUGGGGACGCCAUGAAUGUUAACAUUCAAAUGUUUAAAAACCGACCUUGUAUUUAGUACUACAUACGAAAGUCAAUAAAAUAGUGACUCUCUAAGAAGAUGUAUAGCGAAGAUAAUUUACAAUGAACCCUUCAUCCUCAACUACCACUCUCAAAAGUCAAAGCAUAGCAGUUGUGGAUUCCCAUAUCCUAUUAAACAGUUCCCCAUAUUGUCUAACAAUAUUCAUAUGGGCAUACAUAAAAAAUCCAGAGAUAUUCAGUCCAUAUAUAUUACAAUCAUUUCUCACAGACCAUUAAUACCAUUGCAAUAAUAUACCAGACAUCGC